UACGAAAGGAGCAGGUGUUAUUCGGAAUAACUGGGCGUAAAGGGCGCGUAGGUGGUUUGUUAUGUGUAUUGUUAAAUUAUAAAGCUUAACUUUGUGCUACAAUAUAUACAACUAAACUAGAGUUAGGAAGAGGGUAGUAGAAUUUCUAAUGUAAAGGUGAAAUUUGAUAAAAUUAGAGAGAAUACCAAUGGCGUAGGCAACUACCUGGUCCUUAGCUGACAUUGAGGCGCGAAGGUAUGGGGAGCAAAUAGGAUUAGAUACCCUAGUAGUCCAUACAGUAAACUAUGAAUAUUAAAUAUUGGAAUACAAAUUUCAGUAUUACAGCUAACGCGUUAAAUAUUCCGCCUGGGGAGUACAAUCGCAAGAUUGAA
rnacentral:rRNA from 1 species